UCAACCCUCAAGCCUGGCUUGGUGUUGGAUCGGGUCGUGUUCCGCACGACCGGUCCCAAAGACAAUGACGGCGUCUGGAGGACCCUCGGUGCAAUGAGCUUUCGGGCACGCACACGAGUUUCAAGGACCUUCAGCCCGGCCUCAACCCCAUUUUUUACAA
rnacentral:misc_RNA from 1 species